AGUAGCCAACGCAGUGGCAAUCACCGUGAGGCAUUUCAGAGCCAUGCAGAGACACUCCGCUGUCUCUGUGUGGGAGUGCCUCACGGCAGACCAAAACUUAGGGCAUCGGCUCUACGGAGUAAGUCAGUGAUAACUCCACCGCCCUCGAAGGGAGCAUGCAGGUUUUUGUCCUGCCAUGCCCACAAGGGAAGGAGGUGUAACUUCUCACCGGUCGUGGACGACAACAAGAAGUCGCCUUUGAGAGCGAGGACCCUUGUUGUAGUUUGUUUUCCGAAGCUCGCCAGUUGGCACGGCCAGCCCACCCAGAGCGCAGCCACAGAAGCGCCCGGAAGUAGCAGCGGCACCGGCCCUGACGAGGACCUGAGGUGCCAAGCAGCGUUCUCAGGAGCCAGUCAGGGCGGGAAAAGAAAAGGAUUCUCAUUUCCUCCCCAGUAGCUAUGAAGAAGUUUCCAUGUUUCUGGAUAAAUGAAAAAUAAAAGAAGUGGAGAGAAGGAAUAACUUUGGGGGAGAGAGAUUCUUAAGUGUUUUCUUCUACACAAACAGCUGAAGCCCUAAUGCCAUCUAAAGAAAUUCAAUGCGUAUUAUGUAACUCCUGUUCUGUGAGUAACUGCAAAAAAUGGAUUAAUUUUUAAAAUGUGUUAUUGUAACUUGUAGCUUUCCCCCUCACAGAACAAGUUUCAUAUUCCUCCUCAAUGGUGUUUUAUUUAAUUCUGUUUAAAUAGAAAUCACUCUUACAAAAUAUAUUUCUUAUAGAAGACGAAUGCUGGUUGUUUUUUAUAUGUAACCCAGCUGUUGAAGACCAUGGAUGUAUAGUUCAUAACACAGGUAACACUCUUAAUGUAAUCAAGUAUAUAAAAUGGCUGUAUGCCAACUAGAUUCAUAUUUCAUGACUGGAGAUGGCUUCAUUACUUAUGAAUGCAAUAGGCAUUAAAUAUCUGUUGGAGACAGCAAUUUGUUUUAAUUUUUAUAUGCUUUUUAAAUCCGAGCAUUUUAAUGAUCUCUCUUUUGUGGUGACAUGUCUAAAGUAUUGAAACAGUUCAACAGGUAUCAUUGCAGCUGUGAAAUGCAGUCCCUGAUGCAGGGCCACCUCUGCCAACAUUGGGAAGCAGGACAUCUUUGGAUGUAGGUUCAUAGCAGAAAAACAGAUGGGAGGUUUGGUGCCAUGAACAAAACUGAGGUGUUAUUUUGAUUUCAAAAUACUCAGUUUAACUUAGUCUACCUUGGCUGUACACAGGUUUUAAAAAUGUCACAUUCUCCUCCUAGGCAAUAAAGUAACUCUCAAUAUGGAAUUAUUGGUUUUCUUCAACAUUCCACUUUAGGAAAGCCUUGUAGCCAGCACUAAAUCUAUGUAACAGUCUGGUUUGAUUUUGUAAUCCCAUUAAAGGAGACAUUCCUUCUUUAUGUUCUCUUAUCUUCCAUAUUUCUUUCUGCAUAGUACAGUGCCACACAGUGCACUGAAAUAUAAUGAAUAAUUAUAUUUCAGGAUUCAAUUUUUGGCAACAAAUGUUACUUGGAAAUACAUUUUGUCAUGAUUUUAAAUAUAUCUGGAGUAAAUCCCUGGAAAACACUUAGAACUGAAGCUGAUUCAGAACAUAAUUUUCCAAAUGUUGGAAUUAAAAGCAAAAAAAAUAAAAACUGGAAGAUAGUACAUUCCUUUUUAUGGUAUUCCUAAGUAUAAAAUCAGCAUUUAAUAUAUAACAGUUGUCAUAAUUUUGCCAUAUCUCUGAGCAGGAUGUAUUGUAAAUAGCAAACAUAACAUAACAUAAAUAAUUUGGUCUCUAGAAAAGUAACCAAUGUCAGCUACUAAAUUUUCUUUCUUUUAUCCAAUCUAGGAGUCAAUUGCCAUAAUUAUGAUGAUCUGGCAUAUAGUAGCAAAUGUUGACUUUCUUAAUAGCAACUAAUAAAAAAACCCAAACCAAAAUACUUAUUCUAUCCUGUCCUUCUCUGCCUAAUAAUAUUAUCAAUAGAAAGUGAA